rnacentral:rRNA from 1 species
UACGGAGGGGGCUAGCGUUGUUCGGAAUUACUGGGCGUAAAGCGCACGUAGGCGGCUUUGUAAGUUAGAGGUGAAAGCCCGGGGCUCAACUCCGGAACUGCCUUUAAGACUGCAUCGCUAGAAUUGUGGAGAGGUGAGUGGAAUUCCGAGUGUAGAGGUGAAAUUCGUAGAUAUUCGGAAGAACACCAGUGGCGAAGGCGACUCACUGGACACAUAUUGACGCUGAGGCGCGAAAGCCAGGGGAGCAAACGGG